AUGCCAAUGCAUACUCCAGGGCGGGGCUUGGUGACCUCUGGCUGAAUGUUUAGUUUUAACGUUCUUACUGCUUAAAGGAAACGCUUCCCUCGACUUCUGAGCUGAGCAGAGAUGGGAACAUAUCUCUGAGGAUAUGUCAUUUCAAAAGAAAACAUCUCAGAGAAUCUGGGCUAUCUAGCCUUCGGGACAAAUAAGGGCAAGACAGGCCUGGGAACCUUCUAGAAGCUGCCCACCUGGAAUGAACCAGUCGACUCCCCUUCUUCCCUCUCUCCCCUUCCCUCCUGCUGUCAUCCAAGAGAUGGCCAAGAAGCACAAGUCAGCAUCAAGACACACAGCUGGAAAUGGGACUGCAGAGGUGACUGACCAUGUGGCCUAGGAGUCAGAAUCCUCAAAUGGGAAGGCCCUAACUGAGGGCAGAAACCCAGAUCUACCUCCUUUGGUGAGCUUGUUGUGGCUUCCAGAUGCAGUGAGGAAGGAACACGUGCCAGGUGCCUCUUUCUCACCCUGGAGCCAGGCACAAGAGUUAUGCUCAGGGAUGCCCAAGCCUAGGGACUAUCUCAGACACAGGAGGUCACUCUCAUGAUGUGGUUUGAGAACCUGGGGUGCUAAAGAUUAUGGUUUUUUUUUCAUAUUCUGCUGGUUUGAGAGAAAAUUACCUUUUAAAAAUGACCAGUAGGUGGUCAGAUUUUCUUUCUAAAUUAAAAGUUGACAUAAAAAUACUUUUUUUUUGACUCAGCACUUCAGUCAUUCUAGUUUGACCAAUUGUCUUUCAUAGAUAAAGAACAUGCAAGAAACAAAUGUGCAAAACCAAGCACAUUGUAACAUUAUAAUAGUGAAGACAUAUGAAUUAUGUAAGCGUCUAAUUACAAGGGAAUGGCUGAAUAAAUUAUGGCAUGUGACAGAAUACUUUGCAGCAGUUAAAAGGAAAAUAUAGAGACUAAUAAACUGAGUUGUUGAGAAAAA